rnacentral:rRNA from 1 species
GGGUGCGAUCAUACCAGUUUUAAUGCACUGUAUCCCAUCAGAACUCUGAAGUUAACCAUGCUUGGGCUAGAGUAGUAUUGCAAUGGGUGACCUCCCGGGAAAUUCUAGUGUUGCACCCU